CAAUAGCGUAUAUUAAAGUUGUUGCAGUUAAAAAGCUCGUAGUUGGAUUUCUGAUCGAGACAUCAGGUCGGGUCCGAGAGGAUCAUGUACUUUGAUUUUGUUUUGAUCAUCCUUGGGGAGAGCAUUUCUGGCAUUCAGUUGUCGGGAUUGGGAUCCUCAUCGUUUACUGUGAAAAAAUUAGAGUGUUCAAAGCAGGCCUCGGCCUCUGAAUACAUUAGCAUGGAAUAAUAAGAUAGGGCUUUGGUGGUCUAUUUUGUUGGUUUGCACGCCAAAGUAAUGAUUAAUAGGGAUAGUUGGGGGUAUUCGUAUUCAAUUGUCAGAGGUGAAAUUCUUGGAUUUAUGGAAGACGAACUACUGCGAAAGCAUUUACCAAGGAUGUUUUCAUUAA
rnacentral:rRNA from 1 species